UUAGGGUUUCAAAAACUGAUUUAGGCGUGAGCUAUAGCAUAUUAGGUUUCAAUAAUUGAAUUUUGGAGAGAUAAAUAAUCUAUUGUGUUUUUAAAAUUAAAUUAAAAUGAAAUAAGCCACAUAGGAUAUAUAUUUUAAAGCUAGAAGCUCUAGAGUUGCAGGGAUUUAAAAUAAAGAUAUGUCAUGAUACCACGUAUGACCUAUGAUUAAGGAGAGGCCAUGAAUCCCAAACUGUAUUAUAUAACGAUUUUAUACGAUUAUAUUUGAAGUUAUUUGUGCAAAAUUCGCCGUUAGUAGAAAUAGGAUUAUAAAGCUAGAAAUUGAAGAAAAUGAGUAGAGGACUGAAUAUGGCGUUGAUAUCUUGUUAAUGAAAUUGAAGUUGUAUUUUUGUAUAUUCAUUAUUUGCUUCUUCAUCGUCUCCAAUCUUUUUUUUCGUUAAUUAGGGGCUAUUCUAAUGGUGAAGGGAUAUAUUUUUAGGGUUUAUUUUAGAGUAGAUUUUGAAAAUAGCCACUUUGGAAUAGUAAAUUUAAAAAACUACCCACUGAGAUAAUUUUUUUUAAAAAAUACCCACAAUUAUCAUUUUACCCUUGCAUAUAAAUUUUUUAAAAAUACCCACGAAUUCACAACCAGUCGAAUUCACAACCAGGAUUUAUUUUGUUUGUGAAUUCAAGCUUUAAAACUCGAAUUCACAACUGAAUAACAAGUAUUAGUUGUGAAUUCAAGUUUUAAAGUUUGAAUUGACAACUACAAAUAGUGUUAGUUGUGAAUUCACAACUAUAAAUAGUGUUAGUUAUGAAUUUGCAUGAAUUCACAACCAAUAAAACUUGAAUUCACGACCAACACUAUUUUUAGUUGUGAAUUUACAAUCAAUAAAACUUGAAUUCACAACCAACACUAUUUCUAAUUGUGAAUUCACAACCAACGCUGGUAAUUCAAUUGUGAAUUCAUAAAAUUCAGUUGUGAAUUUAUCGAGUUAGUUGUGAAUUCAAGAACAUUAACCAGACAAAUUAAUUCAAUUUUCAUAUCCCCUAUUGCUAAAUAAAUCAGCAUGUAUAUCUCCCAAAAUGAUAUUAGUAUAUUUUUAUGGGUUAAGUAUCAAAUAAGCCCCUAACAUAGAAGUCCUUAUCACGUAUAAAUCCCUAUAGUCGAAGUUGGUCCAAUCGAAGUCCUUAAUUUCGAGCAAUUAGCCCCUCCGCCCUAACGGCUGUUUAACGCAGUUAACUAUUUUCAUUUUUUUAAUAUUUCUUUGGCGGUGGAAACACGCCGGAAAGUGCAGAGCAGCAACUUCGACCCCAUCUGUAAUCUCCUUAGCAGAUACCCUCCAUUCCCAUCUGCAAUCUCAAUCUUCUAGCCCUAAUUUUUUUUCUUUUCUUGUUUCUCAUGAAAAUUGAAAUCUUCGCCAUCAAUUUCAUAUAUAUAUAUAAGGUGAAAGUUGACUGAUUUUCACUGGGUGAUGAAUUUCGCGACUAUUUCUUUAAUUUCUAGAUUUGUUUGUUGCUAAACCAACCCGGAGUUGAGAAGUGAAGCUCAUUCCCGCCAUAUGUCGUUGACGUAUUUCAAUGACCAUGAUAUUUUCUCUCCUCCAAAUUCUCGCAAGUAGGAUUGUUUUCUCACGAACUAAUUAAUGGAGUCCGCCGCCUCGCGCCCUGGUGUGGUAAUCGACAGUGGCACUGGGUAUACUAAAAUGGGAUUUUCCGGAAAUGUGGAGUUGUGCUUCAUAGUUCCGACUGUAGUUGCAUUAAGCAACUCGUUCUUGAACCAGUCGCGGCCGAGUUCGAGCAAGAGCAACAAUUAGCUAGGGAAGCACAAUGCAGGGGUGAUGGCGGAUCUCGAUUUCUAUAUAGGAGAAUAGGCGUUGUCUAGAUCUAAGGAGAUUGCAGAUGGGGUCGAAGCUGUUUCUCCUUCUUUGCACUUUCCGACGUGUUACCGACAUGCUUCCAUCGCAAAAGAAAUUAAAAAUAAAAAUAGUUAACGGUGUUAAACGGCCGUUAAGACGAAGGGGCUAAUUACUCGAAAUUAAGGACUUCGAGGGUUUAGUUGGACCAACUUCGACUAUAGGAAUCUAUAGUCGAUAUGGACCUCUAUGUUAGGGACUUAUUUGAUACUUAACCCAAUUUUUAUAUAUUCACAACAUGAAAGUCACAAAAGGGGAGAUCAACGCACAUCUUCAAGCUUAUUGCAGAAUGUCACCAUUUCACACCUGCUCACCUUCUCAUCCCUCAAUUUGUGGGUUUAUACCCACGCUUUCCCUCAAAAGCGAAAUUGCAGCCACCACUAUUUUCACAGAGUUCUGGCAGGGCUAAAAUCAGAUCAUGAAUCCUAAAUCGUCAAAUCAGAUCGUGAAUCCUGCUAGUAGCAAUUAACACAGACCUUGUUGUUGGAUUUCGAUUGGAGCUCUCAGAGCCGUCGUGACGCCGCCAUACAAGGUCGGAUCGGUCCUGGAUUGGCUACAUCGUCGUCAUCUCCGACGCUCUCUAUCGCCGCGAGAUUUACAUCGUCUGGUGCGGCACCUCCUGCCACCGCCGCGGUCCAGUCCGCCGCGCAGCUAUAGCCGGAUGAGAGAAAGAAAAAUGGGAGGGAGAGAGAGUGGAAAGAGAGAGAAAGAGAGCGCUAGAGAGAAAGAGAGAGAGAGGUAGAGUGAGAAAGAGUGAGAGAUGGUUAAGAGUGAGUAAUUUUUUAAUUUAAUUUUAGGGGUAAUUUAGUCAUUUAACACAAAAAAUGGGUAUUUUUUAAAGCUUUUAUUUGAAUAGGUAAAUUUUAAAAUUACUAAAAAAAUGUGGCUACUUUCAUAUAUUGACUCUUUAUUUUAUUGUAUUAGAAAAAGUUAUUAGUGAAUUAUUGAUUAUAAUUUUAAAUUUCAA